rnacentral:lncRNA from 1 species
AUUCCCUUAUACAUUAGAACUAACACUGGUUUAUUCUUCCUUUACCUAGAAUUAGAGAAAUCAUGUUCAAAGAAGAUGGACCCUAAGUUAUUCCAAAUAGAGAGAUUCUUCUCUAAAACCUUGGACACAUGUGGGAUACUGGAUGUAAAGAGUUAUCCACCCUAGUAUGUUGUACACCAGAAGCAUAUUUCCCUGACCUCUUUGUGGGACUCAUGACAACAGUACCUUUACUUAGCCCACUACUCUCAACUUCUUGCCGGUGGAAGAGAAUGAAUGAGGUGGUAACUGGAGUACAUGAAGCAGGAACCAGCUGGCUGCUUUGGCAGGAGCAAACUCCAUGCAGGCACUGUGGCAGCAUCCAGGCAGGGGUGCCUGUGAUUUCUGAAGCCCCAGAGGGUGUAUUACAGUGCUCUUUUAGCUCUGCCAUCUACAGAUGGCUUCAGUGUUAACAGCUAAGUGGGCCCUUUGCCUUUUAGUGUAAAGUGGCUGCCCUCCAUUAGAGAGGGCAAAGGGCCAGUGUGGCAGGCUAUUGUCUUGAUACUUGUUGCUACUGAGCUCUUGUCCAAUAUCUAGGAAAAAGAGAUGGCACAAACGAAUUGAAGGAUGGUAAAUGAGGGGGAUUUUAUUGCUGAUAAAAGUGGCUUUCAGUGGGAAAAGGAGCUGAAAAUGGGAUGAGGCAGGUAAGUAAUCUUUCCCUGAAGCAUGGCCAUCUCCAGUGGGAUUCUUCUACAAAGUUAUACUGUUAAGUUGGCUCUCUAAAAUCAAGCCACUCUUGCUGACAUCUAGCCAUAGUUUUGUGUACCAGCUGAGUCUGAGGUUUUUAUAGGCACAGGAUGGGGGGCACAGCAGGCCAUGGGUAGUUUAGGAAAAGGCAACAUUGGAGCAGGAAAAUAGGAAUAGAAAUUCUCACAUUGGGCUGCAAGUUUCAGGCUUUUCAGGUUGAAGGUGGGGUUUUGUCAGGGUCCCAUACAUAUCUGCCUAGAAUUUCUCUGCCUCCCAUCACUAUCACAACCACUCUGCUUUCCGGUAAAAACUCAACUAGGUUAUGAUGUAUUAUUUUUCAAAUACAUUACUCAAUUUUAUCUGCAUGUAUUUUAUUUAGAAUUUUUACAUCCAGUAUCACGAGUGUUUUUAGAUACUAGUGUAAGUUUUUCAUGAUAUUAUUAAUUUUUAAAGUUCGGAGGCAUCUGUUAAUAUCCCUUUUCCUCAUUGUAUCCUCUUAAUAACUUUUUGAGGUCUGCAGAAUCUGUAGUGAUAUCCCUUAUUUCAUUCCUAGCAUUGUUUAUGUGUGCCUACUUGCCUUUUUUCUUGAUCAGUCUCACCAGAAGCUUGUCAGUUUUAUUAGACUUUCAAAGAAACAGCUUUGGCU